rnacentral:rRNA from 1 species
UACGUAGGGGGCUAGCGUUAUCCGGAAUUACUGGGCGUAAAGGGCGUGUAGGCGGUCAUUUUAAGUCAGAGGUGAAAACUACCGGCUUAACCGGUAGCCUGCCUUUGAAACUGGAUGACUUGAGGGUAGGAGAGGGGAGUGGAAUUCCCAGUGUAGCGGUGAAAUGCGUAGAUAUUAGGAGGAACACCGGUGGCGAAGGCGGCUUACUGGACUGUAACUGACGCUGAGUCACGAAAGCGUGGGUAGCAAACAGGAUUAGAUACCCCCGUAGUCCCUGAGCGGGCUGGCAAGG